AGCGACGUGUGUGCAGCCCUUGUUUACCUUCACGUGUGCAGCCCAUCGUACGAGAGAGUUCCUUUGUUUUUUUAUAUUUGUUUGACUGGCCGGUUUGCAUGGUCAAGCUGACGUGCCUAUUCUAUAUUUCCUGGGUUUCCUUCCUUCGACGCGUCUCCGUAUGGGCAUGCAUGUCUGCGCCAUGCACCUCGCCACGUUUGCCUCCACCGCUUUGACCGGUCUAUCUCUGUCUCUCCCGAAAAUUCUGGCUCAAUCCCGUGUCGUGGCUCUGCCAACCUAUGUGCGUAUAAAAGGCCCCCCGUAGCGUGGGUCCCUCCAGUCACCGCUGCACCCAGACGGCUCCUCACCAAUACGCCCAUCUCUCCUCCCGAUGCUGCCCUCCACCCUCCACCCGAGAUCCCAUGGCGCGCUACGUCGCCGCUCCGGCUGGCCGGCCGAGAGGUGCGCACAGGCUACAACAUGAAUCGGGAGAGCCAUGUACCAUCGCCUCACAUGGAUCUUCCUCGGCUCCGGCUCCCUGCCUCCCAUGGAUCUUCCUCGGCUCCGGCCCCCUGGCCUGAAGGCGGAUAAACAGCGGUGGCCUUCGCGUGGUCCAAGGUGGCACGCCUGCAGCUGGCAGCGGAUAGCUCGCUGCCCCGCUGCUCUCCAUCCUAAUCGGCUCCCCUUGGCCUUCCCCAGCUUCGGCCCCGGCUGCCGGUCCCCUCCAUCUGCCCGACGGCCGUCCCUCCGCUGCAGCGCUCUUGCAAAGGUAUCGCGUACAGGUCUGUGGUGAGGACAAAAAUUUGGGCGUCUAGCUCCUUGCAUGAAUGUGCAAGGAAUUUAGAACCUGCAUCUUUUCUUCAGUAUACCAUGCUGACAUACAGAGGAAAUGCUACAGCUUGAUGAUUAUUGCAGUACUACAUUAUUUUCAGGUAUGUAUUGUUCCUUUUGUGAUAGUUCUCUCCUAUGAAAGUAAAAUGAAUCAUUUUUAUUUUUUGAACAAGGUUGCUCUCUCCUAUAUAGAAGUAAAAUGACUCAUUUUUAAUUCUUUGAACAAGGUUGCCGAAAGUAGGGCGCUUAAAAAGCUUCGCAAAAUCUGCUUACUAUAGAAAUCUAAUGUAGGUUUGUUAGCCUUAUAGGGUACUAAUAUGCUGAACACAUGAUAUUAAAUAUACAGUACAUUGCACUGUGAAGAGUAUGUAUAUACUAUCCACACAGGAUUUAGUAUGUCACACUUGACUUCAUCAUCCUUUCUUUUCAGAUGUAUUCUUUAGGCAUACACUAAUGUGGUAGCUUAGUCAUAUCCUGUAGCUAAUUUAGUCACCACAAUACUCAGGAUUUUUUCCCGGCUUUGAAUAUAAAUAACUUCCACUUGCCAUUUCACAUGACAAGCACUACAUUUCAUUUAUUUAUGGCCUACAACUUAUUAUUUAUGGAUAGGCACAACUGAAGUCUUUAGUUUUUGGGUAUCAUAGAAGAACGACAUUACUUUUUGUAGCGAUAGAACAAAUUGAUCAACGUUUGACCUUUUCCAGCUAUUAUUGGACACUUACUAGAAAACUGGGCUUUUCACAGGGCAAUAUUCACAUUAGUCCAGGUUCAGUCACGAACCGGGACUAAUGUGAGCAUUGGUCCCGGUUCGUGCGGCCAGGGGCCUGUCGGGCCUCGU